rnacentral:lncRNA from 1 species
ACUGCGGAGGGCGCUCUCCUAGCGAGCGGAUGCUCGGUUGUUCUACUUCCUCUGCCCUCAGUGUCGAGCACUGGGGUGAGACUGGGACUUGAUUCCAGUCUUAAAGCCAGAGAAACCGAGGCUAAAGAGAUUCUUCUCCCCCAUUCCCGUCUUGCACAACACUCUUUACUUGGAAUUUCUUUUUGAGAUUGGAGUCUCACUAUGUAGCCCUGACUGGCCUGCUCGUUUUGUCGAUCGUUCUGUCCUGGAAAUCACAGAUAUCCGCUGUCUCUGCCUCCGGGAUGCUAGGACUACAGGUGUGCGCCACCAUACCCGGCUUGGAUUCUGCAGGGACCGGCAAGCUGUGCUGUAACUAGAGUAUAGCCCCUAGCCUAGCCUGCGGUUUUCAGAUCAUGUUUCUCUAUAUAUGCCAAAGGUUACAUUUCCUAUAUUUUAGUUACAUGUAUUUCCUGUGUGUGUGGAGGGAGCUUGUGUGCCACACCUGAGGUCAGAGGACAACUUGGCAGAAGUUGCUUCUCUUCCACCACGUGGGUUCCAGUGAUCCAGCUCAGCUAAUCAGGAUGGGUAGCAAGAGCCUUUACCCUCUAAGACGUCUCACCAGCCCCAAAUGUAACAUUUUAAAAGAGGAAACUUAGAACUCAACAGAAAGAGACAGCCGGAUUUUGGGGGGGGGGGGGGAGCGAUGGUGGAGAGAUGGCUCAGUGAUUAAGGCUUGCUUUUCCAGAGAAUUCAAAUUUGGUACCCAGCACCCACCCACCUCUGGCCGCUCUCAAUACCUGUAACUUCAGGGGCUCUGACAGCCAAGUCUGGCUCCAAGGGCAUUAUGACACUGCAUUGCAAUCUCUCUCUCUGCCUCUCCCCUCAUCCUCACCAAUAAAUAAAUAAAUAAAUAAUAAAAAUUGUUUAAAGUUUCAGUGGUGGCAGCAGCAGCUGAGGCAUGGAGCCACACUGUCCUUGUCAGCACGGACAAUGAGAAAGGUAAAAACCGGAUCCUUGCCUUGGAUGCAUCAAAGAGUUUAGGAGCAGCCAGUAUCGUAGAAAGCGGCGUUGUAGUUUAGUAAAAAAUAAAAAAGGGGUCUGACAAACGGCCCAGCAUGUAAAAGGUGUCUGCCAUCAAGCCUGGCCAUCUGCAUUCUAUCCCCAGGACCCACACUGUGGAAGGAGAGAACAAACUCCAUGGGUUGCCCCCUGACUUCCACAAGUGUACCGUGAGAUCCUCACCUCCAUAAAUAAAUGUUUGGGAGGUGGGGCAGAUGGUGGGGCUUACCAUCUUUAAUCCCCGCACUUGGGAGGCAAGGGCAGUUGAGUCUCUGAGUUUGAGGCCAGCCUGGUCUACAGAAUGAGUUCCAGGACAGCCAAGGCUGUCUUAAACAAAAAACAAAAAAACAAAACAAAAAAAGCACCUGAAAGUGUAGCCCUCUCAAAACAGCAAACUUUAUUAAAGACAGUGUUAGCAUAGAUUUUAAGCCUAGAAAUUCAGAAUAACAACUCUUAGUGGCUCUGAAAUUACAUCUCAAAUGGAAAAGAAAGCUUUAUUCCUUCUUUAUUUUUCAUAAAUGAGAUUAUAGGAUGUUUCAGAAGUACCUUGGAUGGGAUUACACUCUAAUAAAACCGGAAGCCACUAGGGUUGUACAAAGGGGUUAGGACAUGCCCUUUACUAAAUGGAGUUUCUGAUGAGAGUUCUAGAAAAUUAUAGGUUCUGAGAUGAGAAAGGAGAAAGGCCUCAAGCAGUUGCUAAGUGUUUUGGAAUCUGUGAUUCUCAGCUGUUGAGAGAGCGGCUCCUUUUGCUUCUCAGGUCCUUGUAAUUUCUCCUUUCUAUCCUGCUUUACAAAGGACUUGCAUCAGAGCUUUUGGAAAAGGUACAUGAAAGACCAAUAUAAGUACAUGAAGUACAUGGUCACUAUCACCAAUCAUUAGGGAAAUGUACACUAACACUAACUUUAUGAUAACUAUUCAAAUGGCAAGUUUGAAAAGCAAAAAUCAUCUCUUAUAGGAAGGAUGUGGAGCAAUGAAAUCUUGCUGCUGUCGAUGCAAAAUGUGACAGCCACGUUAGAAUUCAGUUUAGCUUUUCUGAAAGAGGCGUAACAUAGAUCCACCAUAUUACCUAUUCUACCAGCAAGCAUAUUAUACUCAGAAG